GACUGAGAAUAGGCCAACAUCUAUUUUUUAUACCCAAAUAAUAACGAGCUCACGAUUAAAACUGACUAACUGUGCUGGAUAUCUGAACUACCCUGUGUUUUAUACGAGUGAAAUUAGACACACGGCCUACUUGAUAAGAGAUGAAAUUCAACAAAAAUAAUUUAAAUCUUCCAAUCGAAACAGGCCGUGAAAAACCAUAUACAACGUUGAGACUUUCUAGAUUUCAGUAAGGUGAUGUACACUGUUGAGUUCACACGGCUUCGCUUGGGGAUUUCCGACAAGCGUUCUGUCGCUGUCGCCGAGUGUGGUUCGGUGGAAGGCGCGCACAAGAAUUGUGCGUCUCGAGUUCAGUCGUUGUUACAACUCGAGUGCGACCGAACUCGCUGCGCUAAUUAUUGAUCAAGAAAAUAAUACACGUUAUACACCAAUCAGUUUUCCAACUUGAUUUAUUACAACAAUGCCACGAACACGCAGGGGGCUAAUUUGAGUCGUCAAACAAACAGAUCUAGAGGCAUGCAAGAUAGAAGAGCAAUAAGAUCAGAUGCAGAAAGGCAACAAAGUAAUGCAGAUGUCCGUGUAAGAAUGGCACAGUUACGUGCAUCACGAGAUGAGCGAAACCAACAAAGACAAUUGGAACGAAGAGAAGCGCGCAGAUUCGUAGCCAACAGACGUAGAGGGAUUGACCAACAUCAUCAAGUACUUCGAGCAUUUACAUCACAUUCAUUUCUUCGACUAGCAUUUCAGUAUGAGCCUGAUGUUGAAUAUUACGCUCAUUCCAAAGUGGUAAUUGGUACAUUGGACAAGGAAUGCGCGCACUGUCAAGCCCUUAAAUUUAAAAAUGAGCCAAUUGGGAUGUGUUGCUCAUCAGGAAAAGUGAAACUUCCAGAAAUUGAAACACCGCCGGAACCAUUGCACGGCCUCCUUAUUGGUACUGAUCCAAAUUCUUCGCUGUUCUUGCGUUCAAUUCGGCAAUUCAAUUCAUGUUUUCAAAUGACAAAUCACCUCAAUUCACCAUUUGCAACGCGCAUUGUCAGCGAGCUGGACGCUCUGUUAAAUGAGCACAACGAAUUGUUGAAAUUAUUCAAAUCACAUAUGCAUAAGCUACAAAGUGACAAUCACGCUAUUUUCAUCAAUCCUGAUAGAACACCAGCUGGAGGGCAUAUACGUCGAUUCAACGCACCUGUUGUUGACGACGUGGCUGGAAUCAUGGUUGGCGACCAUACAGCUACGCGACAAAUCGUGAUUC